CUCUAGACACGAGAUGACAACAAGACAAGAUAAUAGUUUGGCGUCGAUACCUAUCAAGUAAAAAAGUCCAAAAAAAAACAAGCUUUCAACUCGAAACUUGCUAGUAACAGAGCUCCGCGCUAUUCCCAAUUGUUCCUCAUUCCAUUUGCUUCUCUAUUAUGAGAAUCAUAGAAAGAUUCACCGCCACUCUUCAACGAGGCCCAUUCAACUCCACAAUCCAGAUCCGUUUCAAGAAACCCGCCAACACGGCUCAGACCCGUUUAGAGACUCGUGCUCGGGACCCGAAACUCGACCUCCUCACAUUCCACCACCGCCGGCUUGAACUCGUUCUGAGCAUCCACAAGCUCAUCUCCGCCAAGAAACGUGGGCCAUUUGUCUCCGUACAGCUCCUCUCCAGAUGGGCUCCACACGCCGGAAUCGAUACAGUAACUGCUGGCGCUUUUAUACGGAAAUAUCCCCAUGUGUUCGAGGUAUUUACGCACCCGAUUCAGCGAAAUGUUUGCUGUAAAUUUACGCCGAAAUUUAUCGAAUUGUUAAAGCGAGAAGUUGAAAUUUUAUGUGAAAUGGAAGAUAUUAAUGUGGUUAAGAUAAGAAAGCUAUUAAUGAUGUCUGUGAAUGGGAAAAUUCAUUUACAUGCAAUUAGAUUGAUUAGGAGAGAACUGGGUUUGCCUGAAGAUUUUAGAGAGUCCAUUAUUCGAAAAUAUGAUAAUGUUUUUAGAUUAUUUGAUUUGGAGAUAAUGGAAUUGGUUGAUAGGAAUGAAAAUAAUGAGAGUUCGAGUUAUGUGGCGGAUGUUGAGAUGUGGAGAGAAAAGGAGUAUAGAGAGAAAUGGUUAAGUGAAUUCGAGACAAAAUAUGCAUUUCCAAUUAAUUUCCCAACGGGGUUUAUGAUAGUUCCAGGAUUUAGGGAGAAACUAAGGAAUUGGCAAAGGCUUACGUAUGUGAAGCCGUAUGAAAGAAUGGAAAAUGUUAGCAUCCGUAGUUUUGGAGGAGUUGAAAGGUACGAAAAGCGAGCAGUGGGUAUUUUUCACGAGCUCUUGUGCUUGACGGUUGAGAAAAAGGUGGAGGUUGAGAGAUUGGCGCAUUUUCGGAAGGAUCUUGGUGUUGAGGUUAACAUACGUGAGCUUCUUUUGAAACAUCCGGGGAUUUUUUAUAUUUCGACUAGAGGGAACACACAAAUGGUUUAUCUUAGGGAAGCAUAUGAUAAAGGGUGUUUGGUAGAACCAAAUCCGGUUUAUGACGUGAGGAGGAAAAUGUUGGAGCUUAUUUUAUUGGGGUGUCGUAAUACUAAAGAAUUGAGAGAGUGGUCAGAAGUUGAGGAUAGAAGAAAAGUGUGUAAUGAAAAUGAACUUGGCGUGAGAGAUGGUGAUUUUGUUAUUCCAAUUUUAGAGAGCUUUCCCAACGGCAAGAUAUGACUAUCAUCCCAGCAAGAGUGGUGAUUCAUCGGAAGUGGUGUUUGAUGAGCUUUAUGAGAAGGAAAUCAAUGAUGAGACAGAUCUUUAAGAAUGAUAUGGAUUCUUUGUGGAAUAAUGAUUUAUGAUCACAACCGGACUUCUUUCUGCCAUUGGCUGCCUGAGACAAAUGGACUGGAAUCUAAUAGGUUCUUGACUGCUAUAUUUACGCGGCAUGCAUCCUCUCUUUAUGCACCUGUUCUCAGUUCUCACAGAUGAGGUUCUUGCUUUGUCCUUUCCCACACUAUAGAUUUUGUCGAACAGGUGUGGUGACAUGAAAUAAGCUUGGGAAGCCUCUUUUGUAAUUCUAAUACUAUAAUGUUGGCCUUUGGCUGCAGAGACCAGAGAAUUCGGUAUUCUGACAUUGAUGGGUGUUGCUUAUUGCAGGUAAAGAUUGUCAUUUGUUUCCUUUAUGUGAUUGCUUUUUUUCCUAAGGCUACUGGAGAUGAUGAACUGACCUGGAUUCACAGGAUUCAAGUGAUCUAGGCAAGUAUGACCACAUUUUUCUUGUCCAAAUUAUCAAUUAUGGUUCACUUUUUUCAGUAUUAUAUAUCAGGCAAUCUUUGCAAUGCUUAUUUUUUGCAGCAUUCUUUCCCAAAAUUGUCUGGUGCAAAUCAUAAACAAUGAUAAUAUAGGAUCAGUAAUGGUGAUGAAAAAUGUAUUAGAAGAUUAAAUUUCAACCUUGGUAAAGAAAAUAUAUGACGUGUGUGUGUGAGAGAGAGAGAGAGAGAGGACAUUUUUUUUUCAAGUGAUUCUUUACUUGGGCCCUUAGAUUCUAUUCUAGUCUACUAAUGCUGUUGUGUGGAUUUCUGAGCGAAGGAAAACUAGGUUUCUCUCAGAAUCGCGACAAAACCCGAAUUGCUCUCAUGGAGAUUGAGAUUAACAUGCUACAAUGUUUGCACAAAGUUCCAGCACGGGUUUCAGGGAAGCCAUCUCUUGUUGUUUGAGCUCCAUUAAUCUUUUGUCACACAAAAUCUCAGAGAAAUGACUGUUGCAUUGACGAGGAGCUUGCUGGGAGCAUCCCCUGUAACAAUUGACAUUUAGUGCAAAGUGUUGCAAAGUAUGUAAACUGAAUCUUGGCUGCAAAUAUGUGAGAGGAUAGCAUGAAGAAAAUGUAGUGCAUUCUCUGCAAAUUUUUGCAAUUUGUUUUUUAUUUUUUCUUUAUUUUAGUUUAUUUAAAGAGGUCGGUUUAUAUUAUCAUUUUACAACUUUUAAUUGAGAAAUAGAUACAAAUGAUGAUUUCGAAAUAAAAUAUGAGAAUAAGG
rnacentral:lncRNA from 1 species